rnacentral:misc_RNA from 1 species
AACUGAUACUACCUGCGGGAACCUGCGGAGGGAUCAUUACAUGGCGGAGGAGGUGGGCACCUAGUAAAAACAAAACCCUAGGUGUGUUGCCUACCACGCUUUCUACCCUUGUCUAUUUGCACCUUUUGUCGUUCCCUCGGUGGGUCUUGAACCUGCCGGCGGCAACUUUCAAAAACCUUUUGUAGUUAGUAUCUAAUUCUUCUGAUCAAAUAUUCAAUCGUUACAACUUUCAACAAUGGA